ACAAAAGGAUGAAUUUUGUUUAAUAGUAUGUUUUUUCUGGCAUCUCUAAUGUUAGAGCUUCAGCUCGAUGAAUACAACCCUUGACAACUAUCUGAUC
rnacentral:snoRNA from 1 species